UCAUGGCUCAGGACGAACGCUGGCGGCGUGCUAAUACAUGCAAGUCGAGCGGACAGAUGGGAGCUUGCUCCCUGAAGUCAGCGGCGGACGGGUGAGUAACACGUGGGCAACCUGCCUGUAAGACUGGGAUAACUUCGGGAAACCGGAGCUAAUACCGGAUAAUGCAUUUCCCCUCAUGGGGAUAUGCUGAAAGAUGGUUUCGGCUAUCACUUACAGAUGGGCCCGCGGCGCAUUAGCUAGUUGGUGAGGUAACGGCUCACCAAGGCCACGAUGCGUAGCCGACCUGAGAGGGUGAUCGGCCACACUGGGACUGAGACACGGCCCAGACUCCUACGGGAGGCAGCAGUAGGGAAUCUUCCGCAAUGGACGAAAGUCUGACGGAGCAACGCCGCGUGAGUGAUGAAGGUUUUCGGAUCGUAAAACUCUGUUGUCAGGGAAGAACAAGUGCCGGAGUAACUGCCGGCACCUUGACGGUACCUGACCAGAAAGCCACGGCUAACUACGUGCCAGCAGCCGCGGUAAUACGUAGGUGGCAAGCGUUGUCCGGAAUUAUUGGGCGUAAAGCGCGCGCAGGCGGUCUCUUAAGUCUGAUGUGAAAGCCCACGGCUCAACCGUGGAGGGUCAUUGGAAACUGGGGGACUUGAGUGCAGAAGAGGAAAGUGGAAUUCCACGUGUAGCGGUGAAAUGCGUAGAGAUGUGGAGGAACACCAGUGGCGAAGGCGACUUUCUGGUCUGUAACUGACGCUGAGGCGCGAAAGCGUGGGGAGCAAACAGGAUUAGAUACCCUGGUAGUCCACGCCGUAAACGAUGAGUGCUAAGUGUUAGAGGGUUUCCGCCCUUUAGUGCUGCAGCAAACGCA
rnacentral:rRNA from 1 species